rnacentral:rRNA from 1 species
GACGAACGCUGGCGGCGUGCUUAACACAUGCAAGUCGAACGGAAAGGCCCUGCUUUUGUGGGGUGCUCGAGUGGCGAACGGGUGAGUAACACGUGAGUAACCUGCCCUUGACUUUGGGAUAACUUCAGGAAACUGGGGCUAAUACCGGAUAGGAGCUCCUGCUGCAUGGUGGGGGUUGGAAAGUUUCGGCGGUUGGGGAUGGACUCGCGGCUUAUCAGCUUGUUGGUGGGGUAGUGGCUUACCAAGGCUUUGACGGGUAGCCGGCCUGAGAGGGUGACCGGCCAGAUUGGGACUGAGAUACGGCCCAGACUCCUACGGGAGGCAGCAGGGGGGAAUAUUGCACAAUGGGCGGAAGCCUGAGGCAGCAACGCCGCGUGCGGGAUGACGGCCGUCGGGUUGUAAACCGCUGUCGCCUGGGACGAAGCGUGAGUGACGGUAAUGGGUAAAGAAGCACCGGCUAACUACGUG